UUUUUCAUUUAUCAAAGUUUUUCUCUGCUUUCUUAGAAAUCCUUUGUUUGAUCUGUCAAAAAUGUGUGAGGCAGUUUGGUGAUUCCCUGGUGAAGUAUUUAGCUAAUUACUUAAAUGUUGAGCGAAAAUAGGAUAUCGAUGUUGUUUGCACGCCUUGGAAUCAUUGUGGACAAAUUAAGUGUGCAGUUGCGAAGGGGCGAUUAUGAUUUUGCCUUAAUUCAUGUUGAUGUAAGUAACCUGCCUAAAUUGGAGAUCUGCAAAAUGAAUUGAAAAGAAGUAAUUGAGCAACAAACCUAACAUUGCAAUAAUUUAAACUCCUUUUUUAUGUCUUGAUUUUUAAGUGACAGAUGUUUCAAAUCCCCAAGUAUGAGUAUACUUCCACCCAAAAGAGUUGUGAGACCCCUCUGAAAGCCUGCCAUAUGCGUGGAAAAG